CUAGUAAGACUAACAGGAUUCCCCUAGUAACUGCGAGUGAAGCGGGAAAAGCUCAAAUUUAAAAUCUGGCGGUCUUUGGCUGUCCGAGUUGUAAUCUAGAGAAGUGUUAUCCGUGCUGGACCGUGUACAAGUCUCCUGGAAUGGAGCGUCAUAGAGGGUGAGAAUCCCGUCUUUGACACGGACUGCCAGGACUUUGUGAUGCGCUCUCGAAGAGUCGAGUUGUUUGGGAAUGCAGCUCAAAAUGGGUGGUAAAUUCCAUCUAAAGCUAAAUAUUGGCGAGAGACCGAUAGCGAACAAGUACCGUGAGGGAAAGAUGAAAAGAACUUUGGAAAGAGAGUUAAACAGUACGUGAAAUUGCUGAAAGGGAAACGCUUGAAGUCAGUCGCGUUGUCCAGGGAUCAACCUUGCUUUUGCUUGGUGCACUUUCUGGUUGACGGGUCAGCAUCAAUUUUGACUAUUGGAAAAAGAUUAGGGGAAUGUGGCAUCUUUGGAUGUGUUAUAGCCCUUGGUUGCAUACAAUGGUUGGGAUUGAGGAACUCAGCACGCCGCAAGGCCGGGUUUUAACCACGUACGUGCUUAGGAUGCUGGCAUAAUGGCUUUAAUCGACCCGUCUUGAAACACGGACCAAGGAGUCUAACAUGCCUGCGAGUGUUUGGGUGGAAAACUCGAGCGCGUAAUGAAAGUGAAAGUUGAGAUCCCUGUCGUGGGGAGCAUCGACGCCCGGACCAGACCUUUUGUGACGGUUCCGCGGUAGAGCAUGUAUGUUGGGACCCGAAAGAUGGUGAACUAUGCCUGAAUAGGGUGAAGCCAGAGGAAACUCUGGUGGAGGCUCGUAGCGAUUCUGACGUGCAAAUCGAUCGUCAAAUUUGGGUAUAGGGGCGAAAGACUAAUCGAACCAUCUAGUAGCUGGUCCUGCGA
rnacentral:rRNA from 1 species